GGGGCGCAGCAGGCGCGAAACCUUUACAAUGCACGAAAGUGUGAUAGGGGAUACUCAGUGCUUACGCUUAUGGUGUAGGCUUUUGUCGAUCGUAAAUAGAUCGGCGAAUAAGUGGUGGGAAAGACUGGUGCCAGCCGCCGCGGUAACCCCAGCGCCACAAGUGGUCAUCGCGAUUAUUGGGCCUAAAGCGUUCGUAGCCGGUUUGGUAAAUCUCUUGUGAAAUUGUUCGGCUUAACCGAACAGCGUGCAGGGGACACUGCCAGACUCGAGACCGGGAGGGGUCAGAAGUAUUCCAUGGGGACUGGUAAAAUGGGAUAAUCCAUGGAAGACUACCGAUGGCGAAGGCAUCUGACCAGAACGGAUCUGACGGUGAGGAACGAAAGCCAGGGGAGCGAACCGGAUUAGAUACCCGAGUAGUCCUGGCCGUAAACGCUGUGAGCUAGGUGUCGCGCAUCUCACGAAGAUGCGCGGUGUCGAAUCGAAGGAGCUAAGCUCACCGCCUGGGAAGUACGGUCGCAAGACUGAAACUUUAAGGAAUUGGCGGGGGAGGAC
rnacentral:rRNA from 1 species